AGAAAUGAAUGAAGAGCAGAAAUGUGUGAGGGCAAUAAAUAUACAUUCAGAUUAUGACCAUUUGCUUAUAAAAAUGUUUUUGUUCAAGCUACCUCGGUCAUUUUAAACUUUAUUUUGUAAUGUGAGUAGAAUUCUACCAAUUAGGGUUUCAUUUGGACUAACUAGUAGCAUCCUUGUGGAAAAUUGCAAAUAUGAAAGUAAAUUAUUUCAGUCCAGUUGAUCUCUAUCACAUACCUGAAACGAACCACACUGAGGUAAUAGGAGUUUGGGAUGGUAAUUUAGGAACACAGGACUACUUAGGAGAAAGGAUUAGGAGGCAGGAUGAUUGGGAUUCCCUAAGGUGAAAUUUAGGGAAUUAGAGACAUCAGGAGUUGAGAGAGUUCUAACAAAGGACUUUGUUCAGAUAGGAUCUAGAAUUGGUUACCUUUCUGUGUUCUCAGCGGUCCCCAGUGCCCACAAUCAAUAAUAUUUUUUGGUAUCAGUAAGUUUCUUUUGGCUGGCUUGGGAACUUGGCCAACAUAAGCAACAUUGUUUCAUUAGUAAUAUGUAUGGAAUUCCACAGUAUCAAUUUAAAAAGUAAAUUUUUAAACUGAACUCAAAUAAGUUAGGUUAUAGCCUGUGCUUGUCCUCCUCUCUUCUAUUAUCAUCCACUCUGAGUUGAUAACAACAGUGAGAUUGCUUUUGCUUUCCCGUCAGUCAUAUAAAUUUUGCUGGCCAUUUGUAAAAUACCAAUGGAAGCAGUAAGUAGGAAGUACAGUGAAAAACUUAGAGUAAAGUAAGAGAAACCACUUGGAGAGCAAAAAAGGGCUUGUGGGCUUAGGGGAGCAGUUGUGAGCAGUGUCUCAGAACUCAAUUUACAGAUAACAUUGGUAGAUGAUCCUGUAAGGCAACUUGCAUUACCUCUGCUGACCUCUGAUAGUAAGCCACGAUGAAAAGUGAAUUCCUAUUGAUACUGAUUUGUGAAUUGAUGGGUAUUACAAAAUGUAAUUUUUUCCCCAGAUAAAUUGUAUAGAGUAGUGGAAUAUUGACUGUUUAUUUCAUACCUAGAAAUGCCUGAAGUUUCAUUAGUAGUAGGCAGAUUGUGAAACUUUUUCUCCCUGACAGUUGAGUACUUUGCAUUUUAUAUAUAUAAUUGAUUUUCAUGAAUGAAAAUUAUUUUCAAGUAAGUGUGAAUAAAUUUUAGUAAACGAAAUUUGCAGUAUUUUUAUCUCUGUUUUGGGGAUUGUCAUUACGUUAGAUGUUCCUCAAUAGGGGUAAUUGUCUUGCAUCCUUAUCUCUUAUCAUAAUCUGUUUUUCUUCACACAGUGUUACAGUUGUGCUGCUGGACUCUUCCCUCCCUCCCCCCACCCCAUCAGGAUGAUAUGAGACUGGAAAGAAGACAAUGCAUACAG